rnacentral:snRNA from 1 species
UACCACCGAGCGGCGGGUAGA